rnacentral:rRNA from 1 species
UAGGGAAUCUUCGGCAAUGGACGAAAGUCUGACCGAGCAACGCCGCGUGAGUGAAGAAGGUUUUCGGAUCGUAAAACUCUGUUGUUAGAGAAGAACAAGGACGUUAGUAACUGAACGUCCCCUGACGGUAUCUAACCAGAAAGCCACGGCUAACUACGUGCCAGCAGCCGCGGUAAUACGUAGGUGGCAAGCGUUGUCCGGAUUUAUUGGGCGUAAAGCGAGCGCAGGCGGUUUCUUAAGUCUGAUGUGAAAGCCCCCGGCUCAACCGGGGAGGGUCAUUGGAAACUGGGAGACUUGAGUGCGGAAGAGGAGAGUGGAAUUCCAUGUGUAGCGGUGAAAUGCGUAGAUAAAUGGAGGAACACCAGUGGCGAAGGCGGCUCUCUGGUCUGUAACUGACGCUGAGGCUCGAAAGCGUGGGGAGCAAACAGG